AUGGCGGCGAGAGCCAUGUCCGGCAGCAGCAUCCUCCUGGCCACUGCGGUGGCAGCGGCCCUGCUGGUGGCGUCGGCGUCGGCGCAGUCCGGGUGCACGACGGCGCUCGUCGGCCUGUACCUGUGCUGCUGUGCAUGAACUACAUCAACGGCAACGACGCGGCGCCCAACAAGUCCUGCUGCUCCCAGCUCGGCUCCGUGGUGCAGUCAGCCCCAGUGCCUCUGCAGCGCGCUUGGCGGCGACUCAUCGUCGCUCGGCGGAAUGACCAUCAACAAGACGCGCGCGCUCGAGCUCCCCAAGGCGUGCAACGUGCAGACCCCGCCAGCGAGCAAGUGCAACGGUGGUGGCCGUGCUGCUGGCGCCGCCACGCCGGAGGUGCAGACACCGGCCGGCUCGGGGUCAAAGGCGACGCUGUCGGUGUACCUGCAGGGAGAACGGUGGCUCGUCGCUCCCGGGCACAGUGGGCCUGGUGUUCGCGCUGGCGGCUGCUGUGGUCUGCGCGUUUAGUGA
rnacentral:rRNA from 1 species